rnacentral:rRNA from 1 species
CCUACGGGUGGCAGCAGUGAGGAAUAUUGGUCAAUGGUCGGGAGACUGAACCAGCCAAGCCGCGUGAGGGAGGAAGGUACAGAGUAUCGUAAACCUCUUUUGUCAGGGAACAAAGGCGGGGACGUGUCCCCGGAUGAGUGUACCUGAAGACAAACCAUCGGCUAACUCCGUGCCAGCAGCCGCGGUAAUUCGGAGGCUGCGAGCGUUAUCCGGAUUUGAUGGGUGUAAAGGGUGCGCAGGCGGUCAGUUAAGUCAACGGUCAAAUGCCGGGGCUCAACCCCCGGCCGGCAGUUGAACUUGGCAGUCUUGAGUUGAGGAGAGGUAUGCGGAAUGCGUGGUGGAGCGGUGAAAUGCGUAGAUAUAGCGCAGAACAC